rnacentral:rRNA from 1 species
UACGGAGGGGGCGAGCGUUGUUCGGAAUUACUGGGCGUAAAGGGUUCGUAGGCGGUUUAAUAAGUUAGAUGUGAAAGCCCGGGGCUCAACCUCGGAAUAGCAUUUAAAACUGUUAAACUAGAAUCAUAGAGAGGAUAGCGGAAUUUCCAGUGUAGAGGUGAAAUUCGUAGAUAUUGGAAGGAACACCAGAGGCGAAGGCG